rnacentral:rRNA from 1 species
AUUGAACGCUGGCGGCAUGCUUUACACAUGCAAGUCGAACGGCAGCGCGGGCUUCGGCCUGGCGGCGAGUGGCGAACGGGUGAGUAAUACAUCGGAACGUUCCCAGUAGCUUGGGAUUGCUCGGCGAAAGCUGGAUCUAUUCCCCAUACGACCCGAGUGUGAAAGUGGUGGAUCUUCGGACCUCUCGCUAUUGGAUCGGCCGGUGGCCGAUUAGCUAGUUGGUGGGGUAAUGGCCUACCAAGGCGACGACCUGUAGCUGGUCUGAGAGGACGACCAGCCACACUGGGACUGAGACACGGCACAGACUCCUACGGGAGGCAGAAGUGGGGAAGUUUGGACAAUGGGCGAAAGCCUGAUCAAGCAAUGCAGCGUGUGUGAUGAAGGCCUUCGGGUUGGAAAGCACUUUUGGCGGGGACGAAAAGGACUGUGAGAAAACAAGGGUUCGAUGACGGUACCCGCAGAAUAAGCACCGGCUAACUACGUG